rnacentral:rRNA from 1 species
UACAGAGGUCUCGAGCGUUAGGCGGAAUCACUGGGCUUAAAGCGUGUGUAGGCGGCGGGCUAAGUACCUUGUGAAAUCCCACGGCUUAACUGUGGAACUGCUGGGUAUACUGGUUCGCUCGAGCGGUCUAGGGGCGAGCGGAACAAAUGGUGGAGCGGUGAAAUGCGUAGAUAUCAUUUGGAACGCCAACGGUGAAAACAGCUCGCUGGGGACCUGCUGACGCUGAGACACGAAAGCCAGGGGAGCGAACGGG